ACCCCUACGGGGGGCAGCAGUGGGGAAUCUUCCGCAAUGGGCGAAAGCCUGACGGAGCAAUGCCGCGUGAGUGAAGAAGGGAUUCGUUCCGUAAAGCUCUUUUGUUUAUGACGAAUGUGCAUGUUGUGAACAAUGACGUGUAAUGACGGUAGUAAACGAAUAAGCCACGGCUAACUACGUGCCAGCAGCCGCGGUAA
rnacentral:rRNA from 1 species